UACGUAGGGUGCAAGCGUUAAUCGGAAUUACUGGGCGUAAAGCGCGCGUAGGCGGCUAGAUAAGUCGGAUGUGAAAUCCCCGGGCUCAACCUGGGAACUGCAUUCGAUACUGCUUGGCUAGAGUAUGAGAGAGGGAGGUAGAAUUCCGCGUGUAGCGGUGAAAUGCGUAGAUAUGUGGAGGAACACCGGUGGCGAAGGCGGCCCCCUGGCUUAAUACUGACGCUGAGGUGCGAAAGCGUGGGGAGCAAACAGG
rnacentral:rRNA from 1 species